rnacentral:lncRNA from 1 species
UGUACUUUCAAAUGAAGUCUGGAACUGCAGAUAUAUUUAGCGAGUUGAGACUGGCAAGGGCAGGACGUCAUAGAGAAAAUACAUGGAAUAAAAUGAGAAAAAGAGAAGUGGGGAAAGUGAUAGGGCAGAAAACUCUAAGAAAUUUCUGACAUGCAAGGAAAAGAAAUUUCUGACACAGAGAAAAUACAUGGAAUAAAAUGAGAAAAAGAGAAGUGGGGAAAGUGAUAGGGCAGAAAACUCUAAGAAAUUUCUGACAUACAUGGAAUAAAAUGAGAAAAAGAGAAGUGGGGAAAGUGAUAGGGCAGAAAACUCUAAGAAAUUUCUGACAUGCAAGGAAAAGAUGAAACAAAAAGAGGUCAAAUAUGUAAGAGCAGAAAGCUGUCCUUUAAGUUCUGAGAACUAAGAGGAGUGGAGUGACCUAAAAAGCGAGUGGUGGGAGCAAAAGUAAGCUGCAGGGACCCAGGAGGAGCAACAGGAGAGGUGGAGGUGGCAGCCUUCCUUUUUCUCAUCAAAAGAAUUGUUAAACAGAGGUUCCCAGAAAGUCUGUGCACAGUGGAGAUGCCGAAUACCAUAAAGUACUGAAAGAAGAAGCAUCAGAUAGUAGAGAGAACAAAGUUGGAACGACCUGGCUUCAAAUCCUGAGUGGCUCCUUUGCUAGCCGUGUGACUGAGCACAUUACUCAGCCUUUGCAAGAGUCAG